UGUGCUAGGCAUUCUUCUAAUAAGCUCCUG
rnacentral:piRNA from 1 species